rnacentral:rRNA from 1 species
UUUAUGGAGAGUUUGAUCCUGGCUCAGGAUGAACGCUGGCGGCGUGCCUAAUACAUGCAAGUCGAGCGAACGGACGAGAAGCUUGCUUCUCUGAUGUUAGCGGCGGACGGGUGAGUAACACGUGGAUAACCUACCUAUAAGACUGGGAUAACUUCGGGAAACCGGAGCUAAUACCGGAUAAUAUUUUGAACCGCAUGGUUCAAAAGUGAAAGACGGUCUUGCUGUCACUUAUAGAUGGAUCCGCGCUGCAUUAGCUAGUUGGUAAGGUAACGGCUUACCAAGGCAACGAUGCAUAGCCGACCUGAGAGGGUGAUCGGCCACACUGGAACUGAGACACGGUCCAGACUCCUACGGGAGGCAGCAGUAGGGAAUCUUCCGCAAUGGGCGAAAGCCUGACGGAGCAACGCCGCGUGAGUGAUGAAGGUCUUCGGAUCGUAAAACUCUGUUAUUAGGGAAGAACAUAUGUGUAAGUAACUGUGCACAUCUUGACGGUACCUAAUCAGAAAGCCACGGCUAACUACGUGCCAGCAGCCGCGGUAAUACGUAGGUGGCAAGCGUUAUCCGGAAUUAUUGGGCGUAAAGCGCGCGUAGGCGGUUUUUUAAGUCUGAUGUGAAAGCCCACGGCUCAACCGUGGAGGGUCAUUGGAAACUGGAAAACUUGAGUGCAGAAGAGGAAAGUGGAAUUCCAUGUGUAGCGGUGAAAUGCGCAGAGAUAUGGAGGAACACCAGUGGCGAAGGCGACUUUCUGGUCUGUAACUGACGCUGAUGUGCGAAAGCGUGGGGAUCAAACAGGAUUAGAUACCCUGGUAGUCCACGCCGUAAACGAUGAGUGCUAAGUGUUAGGGGGUUUCCGCCCCUUAGUGCUGCAGCUAACGCAUUAAGCACUCCGCCUGGGGAGUACGACCGCAAGGUUGAAACUCAAAGGAAUUGACGGGGACCCGCACAAGCGGUGGAGCAUGUGGUUUAAUUCGAAGCAACGCGAAGAACCUUACCAAAUCUUGACAUCCUUUGACAACUCUAGAGAUAGAGCCUUCCCCUUCGGGGGACAAAGUGACAGGUGGUGCAUGGUUGUCGUCAGCUCGUGUCGUGAGAUGUUGGGUUAAGUCCCGCAACGAGCGCAACCCUUAAGCUUAGUUGCCAUCAUUAAGUUGGGCACUCUAAGUUGACUGCCGGUGACAAACCGGAGGAAGGUGGGGGAUGACGUCAAAUCAUCAUGCCCCUUAUGAUUUGGGCUACACACGUGCUACAAUGGACAAUACAAAGGGCAGCGAAACCGCGAGGUCAAGCAAAUCCCAUAAAGUUGUUCUCAGUUCGGAUUGUAGUCUGCAACUCGACUACAUGAAGCUGGAAUCGCUAGUAAUCGUAGAUCAGCAUGCUACGGUGAAUACGUUCCCGGGUCUUGUACACACCGCCCGUCACACCACGAGAGUUUGUAACACCCGAAGCCGGUGGAGUAACCUUUUAGGAGCUAGCCGUCGAAGGUGGGACAAAUGAUUGGGGUGAAGUCGUAACAAGGUAGCCGUAUCGGAAGGUGCGGCUGGAUCACCUCCUUU